GACAGAUAAAAGUGAAAGUAAAAGAACGCAGCUACCGUUUGUGUCGAGAGGAACGUAAAACUGUUUAGAACAAAACUCUGCCUGGCAGGAACCCAGCUGUGUCUUAAUGAAGAAUGAGUGGUCUGUGAAACGUCAACAUGGAUGACUGUACAACUGAGCUAAGUCUGAUGGAGGGUAAAAGAUCAGACUCACCUGAACCCAGCUGUAUUUCUGUGAAAAGUGAUCGGUCUAAGGACGAACCAUAUAACUUUAGAGAUGAGGACUGUUCUACUGAUCUGAGGUAAAGACAACUUAUUAUUGUUACUCGGAGGAGUUAAGGACAGAGAAUAUUCAUUCAUUCUUAAUAUGACAUAACA